rnacentral:lncRNA from 1 species
UUGAACAGGCCAGGAAAAAGUUAAAAAUACGAAAAAAUGAAAACAAAUAAUAAAAUUCAAAUACAAAUAAAAUGAAUAAAUUAAAUAUACGAAAAAAUUAAAAUAUAAUAUGAAAACAAAUAUGAAAAAAACUAAAAAAAUACUCACAUGUUAAAACUAAAAUUAAAAUUUACUACAAAAAUGCACAUACAUAAAUUUAUAAUAAAAUAAAACAUUCAAAUGAAUAUAUGAAUAAUCAAACGUUAAUAUUCAUAUNUGUGAGAACGUAAAAACAUUAUUUUUAUAUUAUUAUUCUGCAAUGAAUUUUGUAUCCACAACUUUAUAUCAUUAAUCAACAAUGAAUAAAUGAGUAAUCACACAUUAAACUAAAAUUAGAAUUUACUACAAAAAUAUAGGCACGUAAACUUAUAAUACAAUAAUAACAUUUUAAUGAAUCUAUGAAUAAUCAAACGUUAAUAUUCAUAUUAGAAUUACUUCAAUAAUACACAUAUAUAAUAUUCAUUGCAGA